CACGUAGGCACCAAGCGUUGUCCGGAUUUAUUGGGCGUAAAGAGCUCGUAGGCGGUUCAGUAAGUCGGGUGUGAAAACUCUGGGCUUAACCCAGAGCCUGCAUCCGAUACUGCUGUGACUAGAGUUCGGUAGGGGAGUGGGGAAUUCCUGGUGUAGCGGUGAAAUGCGCAGAUAUCAGGAGGAACACCGGUGGCGAAGGCGCCACUCUGGGCCGAAACUGACGCUGAGGAGCGAAAGCGUGGGUAGCAAACAGG
rnacentral:rRNA from 1 species